CCUCGGACGACUUGGCGCUCCGGGACAGCAGCAGACGCCCAAGCUCCGGCAGCGCAGAGCCCCGCCGGGGGCCCGGGGGGCUGGGAGCCGGGGAUCGCGGGGACGGAAGUGGGGGACCGAGUCUCGCGAGCCCGGGCCCUCCUCGCAGCUGGGGCCCCACUGGCGCCCCCGCGGGAGCGCUACGGGAGAGGCGCCUAUGCGGCUGCAGGUUUUAUUAUGGAGCUGUCAAGGUAGAAAGGUACGGAGAACGGGAACCCACCGACAGCCAACUUCCCUUGGGACCCGCCUUUUGCUUUAAAAACAACAACGACAAGUCUGUGCUUCACCCCACACAUGCCUUUCGUUUUCCCUUUUUUCCCAGAGUAAUUUUAAAGCAUCCCAGUGGAUAAAUUCUCCUUUAAAUACUCGAGUAUGUUUAAUCAGUAAGGCCUAUUUUUUUAAACAUUCUCAUAGUAUUACGGUCACACCUAACGAAAUUGGCAAUUCCCAGUCCGGGCCUGAGGGAGGCCUGAUGGUUCACAAGACUUGGUAAAAUAUAUCAUUAUAUUUUAAACCAAAAAAUAAAUGAUAAGGCACCUCCCCGUUCCCAACCACCAAAUCAUCCGAAUGGACUUCUUCCUCAGCCAGGACUUUUAGAAUUUAACCUGAAAAACUGGUUCAGGCCAUAAGGGGAAGUGGAGGCCGAACAUGCCUCAUUAUCCCUCUCCUGCAUUAACAUCAACACAGACUUUAAGUCUGAUAAGAAACAUUUUACAGCCUCUUCUCUCUGAAGCCUGCUACCCUAUCCGAAUACUUCAUCUGCGUGAUAAAACACAUUGGUCUCCACAACCUCUUAACCCAGACAUUCCUUUCUUUAAUCCCAGGUCUUUGGACAAACUCAACCAAUUGUCAACCAGAAAAUGUUUAAGUUGACCUAUACCCUAGAACCACCCUCCCCCUCUUUGAGUUUUCCUGCCUUUCUGGAUCAAACAAAUUUAUUUCUUAAAUGAACUUAACUUGAAGUCUCAUGCCUCCUCAGAAUGUAUUAAACCAAGCUGCACCCCGACCUCCUUGGGCACAUGUUCUCAAGACCUCCUGAAGGCUGUGUCACUGGCUGUGGUCACUCAUAUUUGGCUCACAAUAAAUCUCUUCAAAUAUUUUACAGAGUUUGACUCUUCCACAAUAAUUUGGCACCCAGCGUGGGGCCUCAGAGAAGACUCAGGACCCCAAAGGAGUUGCCUGAACUCGGAGCGAAGAUACCAGUGGGGCCCAUUGAAGCCUCCCAGACUUCUAGCUUCUCCCCCGAUGGAACUGGUUAAGUUCUCCUGAGCCCCAGAUCGCCCUUUGGUUGACAGUCCUUCGUUUAGUGUGAGCUGGUUUUUCUCCUAGGAAGUUGUUGUUUAAGGAUUCUAAUUCUAGUUCAGAGACACAUUCUAAAGGGUUUUCUUUAUUGCUUUUUCUCCCAAAAUUAAUCUUGAUUCGGCUUGUCUGCGCAUUUGUGUGAGGAAUUGAACUGUUGUUUUCAUAGGUAAAUGAGAGACUGAGUUUUCUCAACUCCAAAGAGAAAGGCAUUUGCUCCUCCCAGCCAAAACGUGCUCCUGGGUGACUGGGGGCCUUGUGGGAGUGUCUGGGGGGGGGUUGACAUCCUGUGACAUGCAGCAGCCCUAUGGGGAAAUCCCCAACAAAAAUUAAUUUUAAAAAUGGCUUGUCCAGGAAUGCAUAUAAGGACUGAUCACCCAUCAUUUUGAGCCCUCUCAAAGGUAAUAGACCUCUGGAGAGAGAAACUGAGACAUGUAACAGGGUGGAAACAACUCAGUGGUGACACAUGGUGGGGUCCUGCCCACAAGCAGCACACAUUGAUCCACCACACAAAAACCCUAGGCCACAGCUCAGUUCCUACUUCUAAGAAAAAAAAAGGUGGGAAACAAAUGAUCUAAGAAUGAGGAGAAAACAAGGAGAAUGACCUCAUUUCGGGCACUCUGUUGGUUUUAUGGUGCGUCUACUUGCCAGAGCUUAUGUAAAAUGGAAAUAUAAUGAUCCUUGUGCACAUUUACAUUAAGGAAAAGAGCCCUAAGGUCAACCUGUACACUAUAGAGUUCCUAAGUUCUCUUCUUCUCUAUAUUUUCUGCCUGCUUUAAAUCUGCUUUUACUUUUGUACUGAAAUUAAAAACCACUGUUUGGAUC
rnacentral:lncRNA from 1 species